GCCUGGCUGGCUCAAUUGGUGGAACAUGAGAUUCUUGAUCUCAGGGUUGUGAAUUCAAGCCCCACGUUAGGCA
rnacentral:tRNA from 1 species